UGCAAAAUAAAACUAAACGUUGAAAAAAACGUGAAGAGGUUCUGCAGGAACACAGAACUGCCGUUCUUGCGCUGCUUUUACACUGGAACGUGACAAGUUGAAAUUUUCUUAGGGUUUCAGAUGGUUCCUUGAAACACAGGAGGAAGGGAAGUUGCUGUGCUACAGACCACCAUGGAGCUGCUCUGCAAUACAGCAUCACCAGCAAGCAGAGUCCUGCCCACAGGGUCCUCCUGGCCCAGGUUCACUGUCUUCAGAAGCAGUGAGACAACUCCAUUGCCGCAGUCAUUAAAGCUUGGGAGAACCAGCCAGUGCAAACUGUAGAACUAGCCCCCAGAGAGCUGCUGCUGGAGGUGCUGAGCUGCCCCAUGUGUAACUGGAAGGUAAGUUUUCUACAAAUUCCAUGUUCUCCUCUGCACUAGUGUACAAAAGAAAACUUUGAGAAGAAAAAAUUCUGUUAUCAAUGGUGUGGGGAAAAAUGACUGUUCUAGUCACAACUGAGCAGGGUACAAGGUUCCUCUUACCUCCCAUAUCUCCUGAAGGGGAUAACUAUCCUCUUAAAUAUGGUUAUUGGGUAAAUUGAGUUUCCUUUGCAACCUCCUUUACUAAACAGAAGUUUUGUGCAUCGCUGUUUAACAACUCUAUCUAUGCCUAUAGAGAUGCCACUAGGUAUCUGCUAUUUCAGAGAGCCACUGUGCUAUGAGCAGACUUAAUUACAAAUACAACCUCUUUCUUUCCUUCUUCAAAAGGAGAAGUCUUUUGAUGAGAAAAUCACGUUCUCUAACAGUCCAAUCCACUACCUGGCUCAGGGUUAAAGAAAUCCUGAGCUAACUCUAUCAGGCCAAGUCUUGGCAGGAGAAUUUCUCACAGUUUUACUUACCAGGGUCCAGUUUUCUUCUGCUGAAUGUGAUGGGAAUUCCCUCUAGUUCACUAUCUUCAACUAGAAAAGAUCAGCCCUCAGUUUUAUAGCUGUCACUGCUUUUCAGGAUUUGUGUUAUUUGGUGUUUUUCCUGUAGCUAAGUUGGCCCUGUUCCAACAGCUGAGAAUGAGUUUCCUGAGCCAUCGCCUCUCUUAUCAUUCAUUGCUUUGAUAAUCAGCCUUAAACAAGCUCGACCUUUCGAUUGAUUUGAACUUUGGCCACCUUUCAACCACUUGUUCUAGCAGAUGAAGUCAGUCACUCAGUUGUCUGCACUGUAUAACAGGGCAGUUAAUGAUACAGUGGUUUUAAAUCAUAGUAUGUUCCAACCAUGAAAGAUGGGGGAAGAAACAAAACUCACCAGAGGAUGUCCACUGAUAUUAAGCCAGGCCAGUCUUCAGUGUUGCACAGUUUGGAGUUUCAAUUCUUGCAUCAUGGUUACCUCUAGAAGUUCAAAAUACACAUUUCAGAGAAAAAGAAGCCUUUCAAAUCACUGAGAAUAACUUCUCACCCCCAGAACUCCCUGUCCUCUCCAUCUUCCCCUUCAUGACCUCCCAAAGCCAUCCCUGAACCGUGUCACUAUCUUUGCUUCUUCUCCUCCUUCACAUUACUGCCAGCCCCUCCUUGAUAUCCACUGUUGGCUACAACACCUGGUUGAAAGGGACCUUUCCUCUGCUGUGCCCCCACCUAACUCCCGCUGGUGCCACUGGCUGGACACCAGAAUGCUUCCUGAAAAGGAUGAUUGGCUCACUGCUGGCCUUGAGCAUAGGUUUUUAAUAACUAACAAUGGCAAACAAAACCUCAGGACUACGAGAAAUGUUUCCAUGGUAUUUAAAAUAGACUUGGAAGGAAAGAGCUUUUGUCUAAACAAACAAACAUAUUCCUCAAGCUGCCACAAGCCAAAUUUGUAACAUCGUGCUAUAUUCCAGAUUUGGAAAAAACAAACAAACAAACAAAUACAAAACUAAAAAAUCUAGAGAUUUUGAACGGCAAUGAAACUAAUAUAACCACUGUCCAAGCUGGAAAAAGAAAUGCAAAACUAAAAAAACUAAAGCAUACAGGGAAAAAUACAUUGGAUUGAAUCCAGAUCUUUUCAGCAAUAUAACAGUAUUUUGUGCUUAUGUGAAGAUGAGUUUAUUAUUUUAUUCAUGCAGGAUUUUUCCUUUGCUAUCAAUUUUAUAUAAAAGGGAUUGGGAUAGGCACUAAUGGGCACUUCAUUGAACCAGAUGACAAACAGAAUAAUGAUGAGUUAUUUUUUUCCCUUGUUGUAGAAGAAAGCUGGUGAGUUUAAAGGAUUUGAUAGUAUUUGCUUGCUUACAGUUACGGCUGAAAAAGACUACAAAGGAAACUCUUAGCUGUAGAAGUGAGAUUUACAUAUAAACAUGAGUAUGGAGUAACAGAGCUUGUCUUCAGUGAGUUCCACAUCAUGAAUUUAUGCACUCACAAUUCUCCUCCUUGCUGGUCAUUCAUGUCAUUGCUAUAUGAGGUCAUGGCUAUGAAUGUGAAAUGAUGUCUCACAAUGCUAGUACAUAGCCAAAGGGAAUCAGCAUACAAUCAUUGUAAGGAUGGUAUGACCAUCAUCCAGGUAGAUGGGCUGCUGCAUUCUCUGUCAGGUGAAAGUUAUUUUGUGGCCUGUAGAUUUAUUCUUAGGUACAAUGAAUGCCCAUUAAAAUGCAUGGAAAUCUGGAAUGAUCACAGUAGUCCACUUCUGAAGCACAGUCUGGGGCUAAUUUCAUACAGAAGUGUUUCAGGAACACUUUGCUGCCCUGACUGUUUGGAUUUCCCAUAGCAUUAGGAGUCUAAAUAAGCAGGCUGUGGUCUGUUAAAAAAAGAGGAGACCUCUUGGAGGAAUGGGAUUCACUGAUCAGCUUCUCCAGCAACAGCCACUUUCAGCCAGCUCCCUCCAUCCAGACGCUGAUUCUGGUGUCACAAAACUAGUGGCAUAGAUUAUAUGAUUAGGUUUUGUGUCGGUGGCAGCUUUGGGUAUGCAAGGAAGGGGAGGCUUGGCCAGCAAGUGAGCAGCAGGGCAGUCGGUCCUGCCGCAGGCGGCCUGCAGGGUCCUGCUGCUGGAAGGAAGAUCAUGGGCAGCCACCUCUACUGUGACCUCUCCAGUAAGAUGAAAAGAGGACAGUGCGAGCAGGCUAUCCAGAGCAGAGGACUGGACUCCAGCCAGCCAGGAUCUACAGGCCAGCAGAGACAGCCAUUCCAGAGGAGUGAUGCGAGGGGGAAACCCAGCCUUGUGGGUGAAGUGACUCAUGAAACCAAAGCAAGCCUGUGCCGCUUUACUGCUCCCUGGGGGCUGAUCUAAGAACUACUGUCACCAAGCAAAGCUGCUUAACCCACAGAGUGAGAUCAGCUGUUUUCAGUUUGCAAACCCAACAAAGGUUUUAAUGCAUUUGCAAAACUACCUACAGCCACCAACAGAAGGCUCAUUUAUCUUAGCUACCUCUAGCUGUCCCUUUGGAAAAGAUCCACAGAGCCCCAAAUGCGUGCAACCACUGUAUGGCUUAUUUGUUUUCUACCAGCUCUAGUAAAGAAUCUGGUGUUAGUUGCUAGAAACAUGCAAGUGCUUCAGGGAAAUAUGGCUAAAUCUUGAGUACGGAGGGUCUGAUGGUUGGCGUGCAACACCGCUUGCCUACAGCAGAUAGUGAUGCUGUGCACCUUCAGUCUGGGUUGUGUAACUGUGCACAGUGUUCUGUGCACAAGGUACCUUAAAGGGCUUUCAAGGGGAACCCAGCCCUGCAAUACCAGCUUUAUAUGAAUGGAAAAGAAGGGAAGAAGAAAGGAAAGCUAGAAUACCACUUUAUGGAGCACAUCAUUCAACCACCCACAUGAAAAAUGCACUAGAAGCACUUUCCAGGCCCUGAACACCUGCCAGCAGAGAGAGAAGAAAAAACUUCUUUUUUCAUUUCAAAAAUAAGCACAAAAACAUGAGUGCCUAUAAAUUUUACAUGGCAACAUUCUGUUCUUCGGAUUACCUCUCCAUAGCCAUUCACAUUUGGAAGGUUAAAUAAAGCUCAUAUCUUGUAAAAUAUUAAUUAAAGUAAGCAUUGUACUGGGGCCUAUGAA